UUCACGGAGAGUUUGAUCCUGGCUCAGGACGAACGCUGGCGGCGUGCUUAACACAUGCAAGUGGUGCGACGAACCAGGCUUCGGCCUGGGGCAAAGCCGCGAACGGGUGAGUAACACGUGAGUAAUCUGCCCCGAUGACCGGGACAACCCGAGGAAACUCGGGCUAAUACCGGAUGAUGAGCCUUGGCUUAAGCCUUGUCUCUAAAGGAAGCUUCGGCCUCCGCAUCGGGAGGAGCUCGCGGCCCAUUAGCU
rnacentral:ncRNA from 1 species